GCUACCAUUAACCGCUUUGCAAAGCUCCAAAAAAAGGUUCAUUUUUCAGUCAUCCACUAACUAAUUCCUGGUAGGUUUACUCAUGUCUCAUCACAAGCCCUUCGCAAUAUUUUCACUUUCUAAAAGUCAUGUUGGAGGUUGUCGCCUGGUGAAAGUCAGUUGCUGGUUGAGCUUAAAAUAUAAAACACAUAUAGAAUAGCGGCCGUGCUGUUUGCCAAUGAAUUUCUCAUAAGCACUGAUUUAAGUUUUAAAUUAUUUCUACAUAGCAACUUACAUUUUUCUUACUAAGUGCCUUGCCUAAAGGAAUAUGUGCGUGAUACCAUCUAGUUUAGCAUAGAGGCUGGAGACAGAGUCUAGCAGCCAGCCAGAAGGUAACCAAAAACAAUCCGCCUAAAAGCUCACUGAUUAGCAUGUCGCAUUUUGUUUGUUUGAUCUGCAUAAAUCAACGAACAAACAGAACGUGUAACAAUGACAAUUUUGUGGUGUCAAGGGAGGGGACGGGUGCAGUAACAACAAAAACUGCAGCUCGAAUGAAAGCAAACAAGUUCCUUUGCCAAAAUAUCCAACCCUCUUCAAGUACACUUAGACAUGUGGACGGGAGGAGUCGUGAACGACGCAUCGACCUUUUUCAGCCACUGGGCCACGGCAAACGCAUCUCUUCAUUAUAACGUGGCUAAACUUUACAACGACAAGGACGUUACCCACCUUAUUUGACUUUUAUUACUUAUCUUCAACAACCGAUAUUACUUUAAUAUCGGUGACUAAACUAAAAUUUCUAGUCCUGACCCGAACUCACAGGACGAAUGGUGGCUUUUUUACAUGGUCAGUCGAGCUGGUGAACACCCGGUUCAAUCUCAGACCGGGUUAAUAGGAGAUUAGACAACUCUGCACCCGGUGGAUCAAAACCUCCCCCCAUUUGACUCGAGCGGCCUUCGAUCAAUGUGAAACGGUCACGCGACUCGCUCUGCGUCGUCAGGCAAAGGGACGAGCAAAGCAGAAAGGAAAGCGGCAUUUGGCGAGCCCGGUGCUUCCCUGCAAGCGCCGCGGGAUAAUUGGCAUGACGCUUAAGGGGGCAGGUUUGUGUUCCUUGCUGAUCCGUCACUUCCUGUGGAGAAGUGUGCGUACCCGACGAGAGAAUUUCAUUUGGGCAACCGGGGGGAAGGAACACAUGGGGCCUCACAUACGAUGGGACUGCGACGGCCCACAUGACAAACAUCUCUCAGUCGAGGUUUUUAGUUGAAGACAUUUGAAAGAAGUUGGGCUCAAUUCUCCUAUCGCUUACCCACUUCGCGGCGAGGUCAGAGGUCAAACACAGGAUAAACACCUCGGUGCCUGUAGGGAUUCAGGGUCUUGUUCAGAUUCUUGACCUUGUGUCCUCAAGUGAAAACACAGUCUCACAACCUGCAGCUACAUGUAAGCAGCAUGUCUGACUUUUCUCUCAAAAGAGGAACUAUUGAAAUGAUUGAACGUAGAACGUACACAACACUUCCCUGAAUUGACAUUUACACAACAGCUUUACCGUUGGGUAACACACAUUCUCAUUUCACAAUUUAUAAAGCUUGAUGGCGUUUUUGACUUUUGGAAGUUAUCAACAGGUCAUCAAGUCAUUCGCAGGCCACGACACAUUCUUGCAGAGGCGACUACUUAUUUAGAUUAUUCUGUUUUCUCAAUGUACUUGACCUUACAUAAACCUUCUCCUAUACAGCUUAGACGGUUAUGUUGAUCAUUCUAAGCUUUCAUCUUCGUUUUUUGCUGUGGAUCCUGGCCACAAGAUUUUUUUUUGUCAUUUAUCUUUUAAAUUACAGCAUCAGUUCUGUAACUUUGGAUAAAGACACAGACUAUUUACAAACAGAAUUCAACCUUGACCCACAGAAAAAAAUUACUUACUUAGAAAGAAAGCAAUCCAAAGAAAAAGUACAAAAGAGCACACAUUCAAUUCAAUUUAUUCUCACUUAAACACUUGUAAGAUAAAUACACGUGCCCCACCUGAGGCCAAUCCUUAAGGAGACCUCACAGUCUCCUGAAUCGUGAAGUCAUGGAGAGAAAACCAACUGUGACGUAUAUUUGCUUCCAAAGAAGGCAGGGGAGGGGGGGGUCGACACAGCUCGUCACGUAGACGUAUGCCUCACAUUCUCCACGCUAAAAAACACUCAUGUUGUCACAUACACGUUGUAAUUGUGUUUGUCGAAUCGGUGACAUGAAUACUGGCAUUCAUUACGUCUAUUUCAGGCCUGUAAAGUGUUCCUGCGUCGGGCGCUCGGACACAUCAGCGCUGCCUCGUGUGGCUCCGUUAACUUCCAUGGAAAAACAGUGUGAGAGUCAGUGGCGUACCAGCACGGGACGUCCUGACUGAGUGAGAGUCGGUGAGAGUUUAAGAGUGAGUGGGAUCCUGCUCCGGGCUUAUAUAGUCCAGUUAUUUUUAACUGCCCACCCCUUGCUUAUUAUGAAGCCCCCCCCUACCAGGACCACUCAGGAAGCACGUUUGGAUCCUUUUCCUGCUCACACACGGCCAGAUUCAAACAGAAUCAAAGAAUGAUAGCAUUGAGGCUCUCCACCCCCCCCUCGUUGGAAAAAGAACGAGAGGGGGGGGUGUUCAGCAGAAAAGGUUGGCACGCGCCAAUGGCACGGCAUUCAAAGAGCGGGCUCUGGUCCUGCUCCAAUUUCAGAAACCCUCAAACGUUUGUUAAAAAAACAGCACCGGGCAGGCAGACCCGGACACAUAUUUGUGGUGCCGGGAGGAUUCAACAAGGUUUCUUUAGCAUGACUAAAGGACAGUUCAGGAUUACAGUAAAAUAACUGUCACCCACCUAUGAAUAAUGUUUCGCAUCACACCAGCUUUUUGUGUUUGUUGUUGCUGAAUGAAAAAAGAAAAAAAGCAGUUGAUGCUUGAGAAUACAGGGAGACCGAUUCAACUCCUUCCAGUUGUUUGCCACUCAAACACAGAAUUGUGUAAAAUAAAGUUAGUUAAGUUUGAGGAAACUUACCAUAAACCUCAGUUAAAUAGUUGAAUGUUAACCAUCAUAAGAGAUGGAUGGUGUAUUCAACUGCAUUACUUUUAACUUGGGUGCACAAAUAAACUAGCAGCUGAGUGCAUGUCUGGUGUAUUGUAGAAAACUUCUAGGGCAAAAACAUAUAAAAUACCUGAGGAAAACCCUCUUGUGUUUCCCCGGAGAAAAGUUGGAACAAAUAAUACAAGUUCUGUGUGCUGGUCGAAGCAGCUUGAACCUGUUUAUUGUCUCUUCACACAUAACUGAGGCGAGAACUUUUGAAAACAAAGCAUACAAACCCGCCGCGUUCCACAACACCUUUGCAUUAAAACAGCCGGUGUCUGGCUUCUAUAGAAUCGUGCAUGUGUCUCGGCAACCUGUGCGGCUCUCAGCAAGUGUUAUGGAAACCUACCUUUUAAAAAUAUGCAGCUCACUCGGGCUAACAUGGCAGGCAUAAUGGCUACAUGUGGAUAUAAUUGAGCCGGUAGAGCGCCGGGGGAUGGGCCCCAAUUUAUUAGCUGUUAACACCAGGAAUCACACCGCUCUCACUCGUCAUACCACACACACACACUCACACAUACACACACGCACGGCUUCACUGGCUGUGGAAAUGUUGUUUUUUUCCUCUCCGCAGUGCUAAGAAAGGUGCUUUUUAUUUGAUAAAUGAGAACGGGCAGGCUCUCAGGGGCUUGUAGUGGGCCACUCUGAAAAGACUGGAAAGUUUCAGAGAGGCCUUUGGACACGUGACAAUUCAAAGUGCUGACCAGACUCAUGUUGGGAAGUAAAAAGUUAAUAUACAUUCUUGUCAUGCUGCCUUGAAGAAAGCAUAGUUGGUUUUUUGGCCUUCCUUCACGGUGCACUAAACAUAAACAUAGACAGAUAGCUGCAAAAUGAAACAAAAACAUCCAUUUACAAACUCUCAAACAACUUGUGUCGCACAAUGACGGUUGUAUAAUUUAUCGAGCCAUACUCUCACUACUUUGCCAAACACACGCCACUAAAACUUGCACUGACCUGAUAGCACACCUGUGCAAAUGUGAGACUGUUUUUCGCAAAAGUGUUUUCAAUUUCUCGCUUCCCUUGUUUUCCAGGAACGAAGCUCCUGUUUUAAACCUCAUGUUUUAACUGCACAACGUGGACAGGCAUUGUCAAGUCAUUUUCUGUUUUGUUUGCAGUGACGUCUGACACAUCGAUGUCAGAGGGUUAACUCCACGGUUCGAUCAACACCUCCAGUAUAAAGACACUGUAUAAAGUAUUCCAUCCUGAUGAAAGCUCGCGGAGGCCUGUGUUUUUUUUCCCCCCUCAGUGUGGUACGACAGUUUGGAACCCGUGCACAUUCGAACAUGCCGAGCUAAACUGUGCCAGCUGUUCAAAUAGCAUCACCCCAGCUUCAACACAGGUUCCCCAUUGAAGCCCCGCGCCGCUUGAUGGAGUGAUCCGGCCUGCAGUGCACUUUAUAGUGUACACACCUCGAAAUGGCGACAUUUGUAAAAAGGCUAAUAAAAACAUUCCAGGAGCAAGGAAUUCUCCAGGUAUUUCCGCCUACACCUGGUUACGAUUCCUUGAGUGCACUCGUCUGUUUUCACAGAACCACCGCUCUCUCAGAGAGCGGACAUUGAUCCCGGACUCCUGAAUUGAGUCGUGUUUUUUUUUUUUUUUUUUUGAAAAGAGAUGACAUUGAAAACAAGCUUGAUGCAAUUUUUAACCUACACUGUCAUUGUUAUUGGGGAGUCUUUGGGGCACUGAGUGAGUGUGGCUUGUGAUGUGAUGGUGACGUGAGUAGAAGUCAUCGUAAUGUGAAAUCAAGCCUUCCCCACACUGCUCGAGCAACACGGAGUGAAUUUUGGAACACUGGAACCCAAAUAUGAUCAAAUCAAGUCUUUUGUUAAAACUAACGAGUAUAAUUAUUAGACAUUUGGGAAAGACUUUUGAGUCGAUCUAUCUAUCUAUCUCAGAUAGAUGAAGUCUGUCCUCCCUCUUGUCUCAAGUCGAAAACUCACCCCGCUGUGUAACUGUGUGUGUGUGUGUGUGUGUGUGGGUGUGGGGGGGGGGCAGGUUCCUCUGCACACAUUACAGAUGCUAUCUCAAAGGAGGACAGGAACAUUAACCCCAGGUCUCGGCCAUAAAACACCCAGUUUUCUAACGGGUGAAAUCUAGUGAAGCAUACGUAGACACACAAAGGGAAAUAGAUUCUCAUGGAAUAAUGUGAUUAUGUGAGUUUCGUAAUGACAAACGCACAUCUGAAGAAUGAAUUUCUGGGUGUGACAGAAGUAAAUCAGUGUCUUUUCUACUUUGGACAGUUAAGACAGUUAAAGGGAGGAUUCAGGUGUCGAGGGUGUGUGUACAACUGAGUAAUUUAGAUUUUGGGGUUUGGUUGCAAAACGGCAGAGAAGAUAUCAACCUGUGGUUGACAAACAAACGAGAUCCGGUGCGUACCGAACAUUUGGCACGCGCGGCAUUCUUAUUUUGAUGUGUCCGUCUUUCAUUCUGAGCGCGCUGACAGGAAUCGGUGUUUGUAGUGCGGUUUUGUCAGCCUCCCAGGUGGGUCCACGAUGCACAGAGCGAAUACGCAGCAAUGCAAAAACAUUCAGUUCAUCUUUCGUGAAGUGUGUUACCUCAACAGAGAGCGUGGUUUGCCGCAUGUCGGUUUCCUCUCCAACUUUCAGCAGUUUCUUUUGUGGCUACUGAUCUGAAUCAUUACAUAGUCGCUAACAGUUGGAGGAUUUUCAUCUACUUUAAAUACGCUAUUAUUUUACUAUUAUACCACAACUACAACUGCUCUCACUGUCCUCAACAUAAAGUCAAAGACAGCUUUGAAAACCCUCCCAAGAGGCAAAGUGACUCAUCACUUGUGUAGCUGCAAACCUAAUGGAUUUAUUUACUACACCUGGCUUCAAUAAAAGGCCCCAAAGAGCAGGUUACUGGUCUAUUUAACACUUCAACUGAGGUAUAAUUAACCUACUGUAAUGGCUCGGGGGCCUCCCCCGACUGGAUAACUUCAAACUCCACCUUCUCCCUGCUGCUCUUUAAUAAACCGUAUCUCUUGUGUCAUCUAUUCCCCUUCCCUCACUUCCUGAGAGGGCCCCUCCAUUGAUCAGGCUGUAAUUUAUGGGUGGUUGGUGGUGUGGAAAUAGAUGGCUGCUGGUUCUUAUCAUAGCUGAGAAGCUGAGGAGUGAAAACUAAAUUAAUAGUAUAAGUUGAAAUGUCUCAGAAGAUGGCGACGUCAGGCAUCUGAACGCCAUUUUUGUGAUACGUCAAAGCAGGGUCAGCUUUGUUUGAGAAUGGAAAGUUAUUACUACAUGGACGGAGUGUUGACGCAACAGCGGCGCAUUGUUUAAUGAUUCUCUUAUUCAUCGACCAAUUGUUCCCAAAAUAUGGGAUGAUCUUGUGCUGCUGCAUUGGAUAGUGAGUACGCAGGCACACACACACACACACAAACACACACACCCAGUGCUUAGCAACGGCUUGUGCUCUGACAAAGUGAGGUGAGCCGACGCAGAGCAACUCUCGCUCCUCAAAAGCCGAACCUGUGACCGCGUCUCGAAAGGUCACAGGUCAAAGUGGCUGCUUCUCUUGAGUCCACGACCUCUGGAGAGCUCGAGGGGGCCUAACCUCUCGACCUUGACUGACCACUUAAAGCUCACCUGAGCUCUGUCUUGAGCACUCGUUAGGCCCGUCUUGUUUAAAGCUGUGCUCAGCUGUCAGAACCUUUACUCGCAGCGUCUCCUCACGAGACCCGCUGCCUGUGCGUUGAGCCGUUGACGCUAAACGCUCAGAUAAUGACUCUUGGCUCCCUGUUAGUUCCCCUUUUUUCUUUUCUUUUUGUUCCCUUCAAAGCCCUCGCUGUAAUCAGCGUGCCCGGGCACUUCUCUGCAGCGGGACGGGUCCCGCACUUCAACCCGCUACAGGCCGAGGGGAUAAACACACUCUUGAUCCGUAAAUGCAUGUGUGCUCAUUUGGAAGGGGAGCCCCGCAGCUCCGGGUGACAUUCUCCAAUGCAGCUGCUCUAUUUAACCUGAGGCGCACACACACACAAGGUGCAGUAGAAUAAGCCUUCGCUAAUCUACCUGCUCGGCAUAUUACGCACUUCAGACAUUCUUCUGUUAAAGGUGCAGAGAUGUCCAUUGACAAAAGUGCACGUGAGUUAGUACAACUUUCUCAUGACUAAGAGCUGCUUCUUUGAGGAACAGCAUUCCAGCAUAAAUUACAACUUUUAUAAUGUGCCCGUUUGAACAUAUAUCUCUCAGGCAAAUCCAAAUUCAAUUGGGGCAUGCGGUGGAACAGUAUUCUCACUUCCGCUUCAGAGUUUGAAAAGUAGUCAGAUAUGGAAGGUUGUCAGUGCACUUUGUGUGGUAUUAUAGCAGAGGUGAAUUCUGGUUUAAUGCAGCUGGUAACCGCUUCCUGUUUUUUUGAAUAGUGAAUCCUCUCACAGUUUGGCCAUAAUUUCCUGAAGUUUGUGUGUUUCGUGUGUAAGCACAAACGUUUGUCUGUUGUGGCUUAACGCAAUCUGAGAAGGCUUGCAAUCACAGCUGCUCUCUACUUUCCGUGAAUCACCUUUGAGCUGCAAAUCCUAUCUUAAGUUUCUUUAAAAGAAUACACCAAUAACGGUUGCAGCUGCGUGCUUUUUUGUGCAAGUGCAGCCUGUGGUUUUUACGUGUGAGUGGUCGUCUCUAUGGGGGGAUGGUGUGAUGGAAGAAAAUGUGCGUCCCCUUUUUGUCUGGUUGAUAUUUGUUGGAGCUUCUUUGUCUUAUACGCACAAUCAUAACACGCGAGAGCUACGCUCACAUUGUUUCUUCAUCUCUGCGUCUCUCCUUUUGCGAAAGCUGUCUUUAAAAUCAGGGAUUCACAAGAACACAUGCACACCAGUUGUGUUUAUCACGCGUGUGUCUGAGUGAGCCAGAGAGACUGCCUGGCCAUCACUUGUUCUUCCUGGCUCUGAUAUCAAUCAUGCUAAGAUUUAUACUCAUGCUAAGAUUUAUAUGCAUUGCACAAGCCUGACUGAAACAACGUUAGCCUGGAAGGACUUUUUCUUCUUCUGUUCUAAGCAUUUGAUGCUCUGAUGAGGGAUUUGCAUUGUAUCAAGUUCAUACUCAACCACUCAUAAAUUUGGUAGUGGUUUUGUAUCAUCCACACACACACACAGACACACACAAACACACAGACAAAAACUAACAAAAGAGAAAGAGAAAACAUAUAAUCUAGCAACCGCAUCACAUAGGUAGCCGCAUGCGCCACAAAUUAGAGAAGUGGGCCUGACUUGUGGGGUAAGAGGUUCCCCACUGGUUUUACACUCAGAGAUAAACAGCGCAUUUAGCUCAAAAUAGAUCCCCUUCAUCUCCACUUGACCUAGAAUUUGUGCGCCCACAUUGAGGGUUUUCCACCCAACCCUGUUGUUACCUGCUACUGAACAAUCUACUAGAAAUCGGAGACAUUUGGCGGCUAGACGAUCUUCGGUCUGGGCUGAAGAUCCUUCUUCACAAUGGAAGCACAAAUAAAACACGUCCACAUGACUCUCAUUCACCUGAUGAUAAUACUAAUACUACAAGAGCAAACGUAUUUAUAUCUAAAAGUGCUUACAAUUAUCCUGAAGAAAGAAAUCGCCCCUACGACUGAGCUAUAUGUGACUUUAUAAUCAUUAGUAUCAAGAGGCAUUAAACCGUCAAUCUAGUUUCAGUACAUCAAAUUCAGUUACACGUUACUUUCUGUAAAAAUGUUAAUGGGACAGGAGGAAAAAAAUCAACCGAAAAGUAUUCUUUCUUUCUGGUUGAAAUGAAUAUUAGUAGUAGUAUAGUCUCUGUGAACUGUGAACAUCUGACACAGGACAAGGGUGUCCUGUUCGGUGACUUUAGAUGAGCACGGUCGUCCUCCAAUCAGAGGGUUGGCGGUUUGAUCCCAGGCCCUGUGUGUCCUUGGGCAAGACACUUAACCCAACAUUGCUCCUGUAGCUGCAACUACAGUGUGUGGAUGUUAGUUACUGAUGGGCAGGUGUCACUGUGUGUGCUCCUCCUGUCAUCAGUGUAUGAAUGGGUGUGAAUGUCAUGUAGAGUUAAAGCGCUUUGAGUGGUCGGAAGACUAGAAAAGGGCUAUACAAGUACAGUCCAUUUACCAUAACCAAGUACAGUAAUUAAGUGCACUUACUAACUACCUACAUGGAAUGACUAAUUGCUUGAAACCAUUAACAUUUACUGACACUUUAAUGAAAAAAUGACAAAAUACUGAUAUGAAAAUAAUAGCCAUGAUGUAUCAAUUAGCAAGUUCUUCUUUUUGACCUAAACCUGCAGUCCAGCUUAGAUUCAGAGGCUCAAAAGAAGGUCACGGCUUGACUUUUUCAAAAUGAUGACAGAGUAGCUUUUGAAGAGUCAAGGCCGAGCGGAGGAGUGUCCCCGAGCGGCAUUCAAUCAUAAGGCUUAAUCGCAGCGCAGCGAGUGUUUGGUAUUUCACUAGUGUUGGUAUGUAAGCGGUGGUAUGUCAGCCCUAAUAACGAGUUUUCAUUUUCCAAAUCCCAUUGACAGAUGGAAAGCAGUUUAAUCAUCUUAUUUGACUAAUUUCAUAGUUUUUACAUUUGAUAUAAGCAAACCCCUGUACAAUUAUACAGUUGUGGUCAAAAGUGUACAUACACCUGUAAAGGACAUAAUGUCAUGGCUUUCUUGAGUUUUCCAGUUAUUUCUACAAGUCAGAUUUUUAUCUGACUUGUAGAAAUAAAAAUUUGUAACCACACUUUCAAGUCAGGAUGGCGAGAAUUUUCUGUGUAAAUACGGUAGCAGAUGACACAUGUACACAAGAACAAGUCAGAUUUUUCACUGAUAGAGUGAAUGGAACAGAUACUUCUGUGUCACAAAAAACAUUCAUGAAGUUUGGUUCUUUUAUGACUUUAUUAUGGGUUGACAGAAAAAGUGACACAAUCUGCUAUCAAUUUGCCCCCCAAGUCAUGAUUCUUAUCAUUCCAGAAAACCAGAUUUUUUUUUUUUAUGUAACUUAACCUCCAUACAAGAUUUUAGGAAAUGUUAUUUGUCAUGCUCAUUUGUAUGAAUAAAAGAUAAUAAAUAUCGGCAUCCUUGAUUUCUCUGCUCUCGACUCCCAAGCGGUCAAAAAUCCUAGAAAGAACCAGAAUCCCACAAGCAGUGAUGUCUUUUACUGGAAUGGUUUCCAUGGAAAUGUUUCUCCGGCAACGGAACACAUCGUACCCAUGGCAACUGCUUGGAUCUCAAUGACAUCGUCAAUGACAUCGUCGAUGACAUCGUCGAUGACAUCGUCGAUGACAUCGUCGAUGACAUCGUCAUCGUCAAUGACAUCAUCGAUGACAUCGUCUUCAAAGAGGUUUAGAAUGCUUAGAACACAUUCUGUUUCAAGCCGAGUUAGCAAGCAGUUGAUAGCUUAAUAUUAAUUAAGUUAUCAGCUGGAUUGGUCUUUCACGACUAGGAAACGUAUUUUAAAACAACAGUCCAUUGUUUUACCAGCACAAAGUAUACUUCAUACAAUGUAUCAAGAAAACGAACAGAGAUAUGGGACUGAAGCCCCUCGGUGUGGCCCAGGCCCUCCACCGAAAACAUUCUAUCUGAAACAGGCACUCAGACGUUCCAAAGAUGAGGUCUACCGUCUGACCCACCUGGUGAAAGACCUCAAGUCCUUUAAGAGGGAUUCUGAGAUUGAGAGGGACAGUUUUUGCCUUGUCAUCAAAGAUGGGAAACUGGCAACCGCCCAUCUGGAGAAAAGUCUGGAGGCCGCCAACGAGAGGAUCAAGAUCCUGGAGAGUCAGCAUAUGUCCAUGGCUGAAGCCAACAACAGCCGAGAGAUGCAGUCCCAAAACCUCCACCUGCUGGAGCGUCUGAGAGUACAAGAAGAAAAGAUGGCUGAAGCCCAGCUCAUCCAUCACCAGGAGAAGGAGAGGAUGGUUCAAGAGUAUGAGGACAAACUUUCCGAACAAAUUAGCCAGAUCCUUGACCUCUUCAAGAAGAAUGAGGGUUUUAGCAACGAGAGCUGGCAACAGAGGUACGAGGAUCUGGAGAAAAAGACUACCCAAGACCUCGCCCUAAAACAAGAGGCGCUGGGAGCCCUUCAGGUACAGCACCAGCAGCUGAUCACCGAGGUUGAGAAUCUGAUGCUCCAGAAGAUCAAUGAGAUCGUGGAAGUCAACAAAGAGAAGGAAAGCAUCUCACAUAAGCUGAGUAUGACUCAACAACAGCUCAUCAGCGAGGAAGAGAAAUUCAAAGAUCUGGAGAGAUGGAUUGGCAAAGAACUGAACUACAAACAAGACGUCUACGAGGCCAGAAUAGCAGGACUGUACGCCGACAAAAUUUCUCUAGAGGAUCAGUUGAACAAGCAGUGGGCCAACCACCACCAGUUGGAGGAAGAAAACAAACAGCUAAAGCACUGGAGGGAUAGUAUGCCUGAGAAACAAGACAGCUACGAGACCAGAAUAGUAGGACUGGUCGCCGACAACAUUGCUCUAGAGGAUCAGAUGGUCGUGCAGUUGGCCAACCACUUCCAGUUGGAGGAAGAAUACCAACAGCUAAAGCACUGGAAAGAUAGCACGUCUGAGAAACAAAACAGCUACGAGACCAGAAUAGCAGGACUGUGCGCCAACAACAUUGCUCUAGAGGAGCAGUUGAACAUGCAGUGGGCCAACCAGCACCAGUUGGAGGAAGAAUACAAACAGCUAAAGCACUGCAGGGAUAGUACGUCUGAGAAACAAAAGAAGGACGCAUACCUCAUAGCCAGCCUACUCCAAGAGGUGGACGUGAUGACCGAACAAAAUCAUAUCGUGAUCAAAGAUGUGAAACAGUUGCGGAAAGAAAACACGCUCCUUGAAAACAUCUGUCUGGACAUGAAGAAGAAGAAGAGGGGCCUCUUCGGAAGAAAGAUGCAAGACAGAAAGACAGAAUUGACCAAGAUGAAGCGCAAAAGGCUGUGCAAGGACGUUAAGAGGUUUGAAAGAAAAAUCAAAGAAGAGAAGAGGAAGAAUAAUACCUUCAAGGGCUGAACAUCACAGACUGGACACCAGUAGAAACGCCUCACUUAAACCACACACACACAUAAACAUAGAUACACAUAGUCAUACACAUAAAUACACAUAAAUACACGCAAAUACACGUAAAUACACAUACACAUAGUCAUACACAUAAAUACACGCAAAUACACGUAAAUACACAUACACAUAGUCAUACACAUAAAUACACGCAAAUACACGUAAAUUCACAUACACAUAGUCAUACACAUAAAUACACGUAAAUACACAUACACAUAGUCAUACACAUAAAUACACGUAAAUACACAUACACAUAGUCAUACACAUAAAUACACGUAAAUACACAUACACAUAGUCAUCUCCUCCAUGAACCGCCACCUUAACGUGGUGGAGGAGUUUGAGUGGCUCAGUGACCCUGUGAGCCGUGUUGUCUCUUGGUAUCCCAACAAGACCAACCAGCUGCAGGCGAGAGUCCAGACUAAGAGCGGUUCAACAAACUAACUUGACUGGUGGGAGGGUUGGAGGGGUUGGAGGGGUUGGACUGGCGGGACGGGGGGGGGGUUGGUUGUCUUUGGGGGUUUGUUGAUUUUAAAUAUCACAGUUAACUGGAUGGAUCAUUUCUCACUGUUCACAGCGCGUGCAAGCAGGAACGGGGUCAGUUUCUUUGCACUGCGGGUUUCCCCCGUCUUCUUUUGCUUAGACUGUGGUUUCAUGAUGUGUUAUGGGAUCCAUGAAACAACAAUGAAACCAAAUGUGCUUAGUAAUGCGUCUAUGUACACUCUUAUAAACUUUACAGAAGUUGAGGCGAGCGCACACCGUGUAUUCAGUGUGAGAACUUUGUGCCGUCUAAGCUUUCUGGAAGGUCCUCUUUUCCGUUUUAUACCUCCUCUUAAAAUAAGCCCCCUCCCAUUGGCUGAGAGCAGUCUGGUCAUUGAAUCACAUCAGGCCAAUUAGAGAGUAACACUUCCUUUACGGUGAAAGAUGUUUCCUGUCGAUAGUAAACGUGCAGCCUGCUGAGGAGCGGGGAAAGGGAGGGGAGGGGGGAGUUUGUUGAAAUGCUGUCAGUGUUUCCCUGACCUUUGUGGCCUCCGUAGCGGAAAAACUGAUGGUGUUGCUGGGCUGAGGUGUGUUUAUGUGUUUGCGGGUGCGCAGCAGUGGUGGAAAGCUGUUAGUGCAUUUACUCAAAAACAAUGUUGAACUACUUGUGCUUGGAGUAUUUCCACAGUAUGCAACUUACCUGGGAAAUGUGGCCUUUUUUACCCUAUGGCAUUUAUUUAACAGAUUUUUCCUAAAGAAAUAUAUUGUAUGUUUCUAAAACAUGUUAUAUACACACACAAAAAAAGUAGCUUUGCAUUAUAAAGGCGCAGUGUCUAGUUUCUAACCCGCCAUUGUUUCAAAGCACAGAACAUUGCAAUGACACAAUGUGAGGUAAAGUAAAAAGGUCUAGAGGAAGUCCUACCCUUGUGGUCCUUGGUCCUUUGAUGCAACCUUCCCGUUCACCCUUUUCAGAUGAGUCCUUAAUGUUGGCAAACUAGUUCCUUUAGGGUUUUGUACAACCUUGACUCUAAUAUCAAUUUUUCUUUUUUCUUUAAGCCACCCAAGUCUAAGAAGAGGGAAGACACUAUAACGUUAAAAUAGGACAGCACACUUUUACAGACAAUUUCUGCUGGAAGAUAUGCAAGUUCUUGUUUUUAACUUGGUCGUGAGAAGUGACGGACACUUUGGUCAAGAAAGAAGAAAGUUUGGUCAAGAAUUUGAAAAAAAAAGAACCAAAGAUGGAAGGGGAGGGGAACUAAGACAACGUGGACGGGUUUGUGCCAUGUCACGGGUCCAGUGUCACCGGGGCAGAUCAGGAAAGUGAAGUAAUGUGCUCCCAGUGGGAAAGGCAGCUUCUCUCUGAACAACCCAGGGAGAUCACAUUCAAACGCUGUGUUUAGGGCAGCAAACAGAUCUGAUGUGUAACUCCUUGUGGCAAAGAUGUUGUCUUUCACAGACGUCUAAAUAAACAGAAACCGCGGAAGGGGAUUUUUUUUUUUUUUUCCCC
ensembl:lncRNA